AAUGAACGCUGGCGGCAUGCCUAACACAUGCAAGUCGAACGAAGCCUUCGGGUUUAGUGGCGCACGGGUGCGUAACGCGUGGGAAUCUGCCCCUUGGUUCGGAAUAACAGUUGGAAACGACUGCUAAUACCGGAUGAUGACGUAAGUCCAAAGAUUUAUCGCCGAGGGAUGAGCCCGCGUAGGAUUAGGUAGUUGGUGUGGUAAAGGCGCACCAAGCCGACGAUCCUUAGCUGGUCUGAGAGGAUGAUCAGCCACACUGGGACUGAGACACGGCCCAGACUCCUACGGGAGGCAGCAGUGGGGAAUAUUGGACAAUGGGCGAAAGCCUGAUCCAGCAAUGCCGCGUGAGUGAUGAAGGCCUUAGGGUUGUAAAGCUCUUUUACCCGGGAUGAUAAUGACAGUACCGGGAGAAUAAGCUCCGGCUAACUCCG
rnacentral:rRNA from 1 species